UAUCCCACUUUACCAUACGUCCUUAUUCUAGCUACCCUCUUGACUCAUUAAAAGAAUUGAUCAAAUUCGGUGUUCCUUUCUUGAAAAGGUACCGAUAAGCCUAGUGGGCUUUCUUGCAAAGUGAGUUAGAGCAAGGUUUGUCUCAAUAAGUAAGAGGGAGGAUUGGGAGUCAAAGAUCUUCACUAUUUUAAUCUCGCUCUUCUCACCAAAUGGAGUUGGAGAAUUCUUAACCAUGAAAUGAGUCCUUAGAAGAACCUCCUCAGUUGUUUUGAUUUCAUAAAGGUUAAACUCUUUGAGGCUUGGAAACUGGCGAGGAGAUGCUCUUUUGUUAAUUUGGAAAAAUAUCUUCAAUUGCCUCUUGUAUUGAUUUUUUGUGUUA
rnacentral:lncRNA from 1 species